rnacentral:lncRNA from 1 species
GCUGGAACCUCUCUGCCUGGUCUGGAAGAAGGCACUGAUAAGGAAUUAAAUGCUGUAAUGCUGAAGAUGGUGGCUGCCCUUACUGUGGGAUGUGUGAGAAACACUGUUGUUUUAAAGGACUACGGAAUGGUGCCAUAUAUCAAGAUAUUUUUGGAUGACGAGUGCUACAGGGGUGCUACUCUCAGCAUCUUGGAGCAGCUAUCAGUCAUUAACUAUGAGGAAUAUAUGAGCAUUGUUAUUGGAGCACUCUGUUCUUCU